rnacentral:tRNA from 1 species
GCCCGUGUGGCUCAGUGGAUAGAGCGUGGGCCUGCAGACCAAAGGGUCCAGGGUUCGAUUCCGGUCAAGGGCA